UGCAAGUCGAGCGGUAGAGAGAAGCUUGCUUCUCUUGAGAGCGGCGGACGGGUGAGUAAUGCCUAGGAAUCUGCCUGGUAGUGGGGGAUAACGUCCGGAAACGGACGCUAAUACCGCAUACGUCCUACGGGAGAAAGCAGGGGACCUUCGGGCCUUGCGCUAUCAGAUGAGCCUAGGUCGGAUUAGCUAGUUGGUGGGGUAAUGGCUCACCAAGGCGACGAUCCGUAACUGGUCUGAGAGGAUGAUCAGUCACACUGGAACUGAGACACGGUCCAGACUCCUACGGGAGGCAGCAGUGGGGAAUAUUGGACAAUGGGCGAAAGCCUGAUCCAGCCAUGCCGCGUGUGUGAAGAAGGUCUUCGGAUUGUAAAGCACUUUAAGUUGGGAGGAAGGGCAGUAAAUUAAUACUUUGCUGUUUUGACGUUACCGACAGAAUAAGCACCGGCUAACUCUGUGCCAGCAGCCGCGGUAAUACAGAGGGUGCAAGCGUUAAUCGGAAUUACUGGGCGUAAAGCGCGCGUAGGUGGUUCGUUAAGUUGGAUGUGAAAUCCCCGGGCUCAACCUGGGAACUGCAUUCAAAACUGACGAGCUAGAGUAUGGUAGAGGGUGGUGGAAUUUCCUGUGUAGCGGUGAAAUGCGUAGAUAUAGGAAGGAACACCAGUGGCGAAGGCGACCACCUGGACUGAUACUGACACUGAGGUGCG
rnacentral:rRNA from 1 species